rnacentral:rRNA from 1 species
UACAGAGGUCUCAAGCGUUGUUCGGAUUCAUUGGGCGUAAAGGGUGCGUAGGUGGCGCGGUAAGUCGGGUGUGAAAUUUCGGAGCUUAACUCCGAAACUGCAUUCGAUACUGCCGUGCUUGAGGACUGGAGAGGAGACUGGAAUUUACGGUGUAGCAGUGAAAUGCGUAGAGAUCGUAAGGAACACCGAUGGGCGAAGGCAGCUCGCUGGGACGGUACUGAGCUGAGGCGCGAAAGCGUGGGGAGCAAACAGG